GCCUCUCUCGGAGUCGCUCGGA
rnacentral:miRNA from 1 species